UGUGACGUCAUUAAGUAUGUUGAAACAUGAACCCGUAAGGUGCGCUAUAUUUCUGAUACUAUCACAAGUAUCCUUAGCCGUGUACAUAACCGGAUAACAUAUUACUAGUGUGUAUCAAUACUGUUUGAAAAUUUUGAUACAAAAUUUUGGACGAAGGAGAUCUUAUGCAAGGUCCGCAAUUCUUCAAGAUUAGUUAUACAGAAAUCCAAAAAAGAAGCUUUGUGUAAACAAGAGGGAGAGAAGCCAGGUCGCUGUCCAACAUGCGAUUCCACCUCCUUAUAACAGUAUCACUGGCAAUAGCCUAUGGAAUCACUAUGAUAGAACCUACUACAACAACCACACCUACUACAACAACCACAACUACUAUAACAACCACUUCUAC